rnacentral:rRNA from 1 species
GAUGAACGCUGGCGGCGUGCCUAAUACAUGCAAGUCGAGCGAACAGACGAGGAGCUUGCUCCUCUGACGUUAGCGGCGGACGGGUGAGUAACACGUGGAUAACCUACCUAUAAGACUGGGAUAACUUCGGGAAACCGGAGCUAAUACCGGAUAAUAUGUUGAACCGCAUGGUUCAACAGUGAAAGACGGUCUUGCUGUCACUUAUAGAUGGAUCCGCGCCGCAUUAGCUAGUUGGUAAGGUAACGGCUUACCAAGGCAACGAUGCGUAGCCGACCUGAGAGGGUGAUCGGCCACACUGGAACUGAGACACGGUCCAGACUCCUACGGGAGGCAGCAGUAGGGAAUCUUCCGCAAUGGGCGAAAGCCUGACGGGGCAACGCCGCGUGAGUGAAGAAGGUCUUCGGAUCGUAAAACUCUGUUAUUAGGGAAGAACAAAUGUGUAAGUAACUAUGCACGUCUUGACGGUACCUAAUCAGAAAGCCACGGCUAACUACGUG